rnacentral:lncRNA from 10 species
GGACCUGCUGCAGCUGGGAGGGGAGCUGGCCCAGACAUCAUGAGCUAUCCAGGAGGCAGGCCUGGGACUGAUCACGGACCUGCGGCUGGCAGAGAGCCGGACCGAGGCAGCCCUGGAGAAGCAGGCCCAGCUAGAGGAGCAGCUGCAGGACAAGAUGCUCCACGAGAAGGACCUGGCCCAGCAGCAGAUGCAAAGCGACCUGGAUGAGGCUGACCUCAGUGCCACAGUGACAGAGCUGGGCCUGGCAGUGGAGCGUCUUCAGAAGCAGAAUCUGGAGAAGGAUCAGGUCAACAAGGACCUCACCGAGAAGCUUGAGGCCCUGGCCAUCCUGUGCUAUGUUGAGAGCGGCGUCCAGCUGAGCGUCUCCAAGUGUCUCCGAGCCGAGAGCCUGCGGGGGGGCUCUCGGGCCAGUGGACCCCGUCCCCACCGCGGCGCUCCUAGCCAGGCCGAGGUCGUUCGCCCCGCCGAGGCCCCUCUCCCCGGCCUGCUCAGACUCCUCCAAGCUCGCCCUGAUCCACUCCGCCCUGCACAAGUGCCAGCCGCAGGUCCAGGUAGGAAGGGGCUUGAGUGUUCUGGGCGCAGCCAGAGGCCCGGGGGCGGGAGGGGGGCGGGGCUCGCACCCUCCGGGUUGGGGCGGUGGCGGGAGUGGGGGCGGGUCAGGGGCCAGGGUCAGGGGGAGGAGUCUGAGCGCCGCAGGGUGCAGCCAGAGCCCUGAGAAAGUGUCUGAGGGUGUCAUGACCCCGAAGGAGGUGGCCGAGAGCUCUGCGGUGAAGCCGAGCCCAGAAGUGGGGGUGCUUGGGCAGCUGGUGGAGGGAGGAGACUGCUGCAGUGUUAGGGUCAUGGUAGAGAGGGAGACAUGUCCCUGGUUAUACAGAGCCAGGAUUCUGGGAAAAGUUCUAGCAAGGGGAAUCAGAGCCUAGGAUGAGAGGAGCUCGGGAACUAGGGGCAGAGCCAGGGUAGGGAGGGGUCUUAGAGUGGAACCAGGAUGCAAAGGGGAGGGGCCUGGGAGCCCUGGGGGUGGGGUCAGAACCCAGGAGACGAAGGUGCCUGGGGGUUUGUCUCGCAUCCGGGGGAGUUUGACAGGAAUUGUCCGGGACCCCACGGAGAUGAGGGCUCAAAGGGUGGUGAGGGCACAUAGUAGGGGAGUGGAAGCUUGGCUCUCAGGCCUAGGCUCCUAUCCUGUCCCAGGCCAGGUCCAGGCCCUGGACCCCGCCUAGCGUAGGCUAGUGUGUAUCCCUGGAACCAGAAGAGAGUAGGUGGGCUCUGGAGGCUCCCAGGACCCCCGUAGACUCUGUGAUGCCCACGCCCCAGAACAUGGGUGGGCGCUAUGAGGCAAGCCAGGACCUGCUGGGCACCCUGCGGAAGCAGCUUAGCGACAGCGAGAGUGAGCGGCGGGCCCUAGAGGAACAACUGCAGCGCCUGCGGGAAAAGACCAACUGCGCCAUGCAGGCCCACGAGGACGCCCAGCGCGAGGUGCAGCGGCUGCGGAGUGCCAACGAGCUCCUGAGCAGGUGCCAAGGAGGUCUGAGCUGGGGGGUGCUGAAGAAUAAAUCAGCGUCUGGGCAUAACACCAGUUGAGCCUUAUGCAUGUGGUCUGCACUAAUAUGGUCGCCCUGAGCUGCAUGUGCCUAUUAACAUUUUAUUUAUUAUUUUAUUAUUUACUAAUGAGAUGGAGUCUCGUUCUGUCGCCCAGACUGGAGUGCAGUGGUGCGAUCUUGGCUCACUGUAAGCUCCGCCUCCCGGGUUCACCUAUUACCCUGCCUUAGCCUCCCGAGUAGCUGGGACUACAGGCACCUGCCAGCACGCCCGGCUAAUUUUUUUUUUUUUUUUUUUGAGACGGAGUUUCACUCUGUCGCCCAGGCUGGAGUGCAGUGGCAUGAUACCGGCUCAUUGCAUUCUCUCCCCUCCCUUGUUUAAGCAGUUCUCACCUCAGCCUCCCGAGGAGCUGGGAUUACAGGUGCCCAUCACCACGCCCAGCUAUUUUUUUUUGUAUAUUUAGUAGAGACGGGGUUUCACCAUCUUGGCCAGGCUGAUCUUGAACUCCUGACCUCGUGAUCCACCCGCCUCCGUCUCCCAAAGUGCUGGGAUUACAGGCAUGAGCCACCGCGCCUGGCCAACAUUUAUUUUUUAUUAUUCAGUUUUGUUUUGUUGUGUUUUGCUUUGUUUUGAGUCACGCUCGUGCUCUUGUUUCCCAGGCUGGGGCACAAUGGCUCCAUCACAGCUCACUGUUGCCUGGAACUCCCAGACUCAAGUGAUCCUCCCACCUCUACCUCCCAACUGUCCCUAGUUGGGGGCCAGGGCCUGGGCCUGGCCUGGGGAAGGAUAUGGGACCCAUGCCUGAGAGUUAAGUUUCCACUCCCUUCCUCUGUGCCCUCAUCACCCUCUGAGCUCUCACCUCCCCGGGUCCUGGGCAACUCUGAUCUCAGCCCUGAGGAUGCUAGACAAGCCCCCAACAUUUCUAAAUUUUUUGUAGAGAUGUGGGGAUCUCACUUUGUUGCCCACACUGGUCUUGAACUCUUGGCUUCAAACACUCCUUCCUCCUCAGCCUCCCAAAUUGCUGGGAUUACAGGCGGAAGCCACUGUGUCUGGCUCUUUUAAAAUUUAAUUAAAAAUUUUAAAAAGUGAAAAUUCAGACUGGGUGUGGUGGCUCACACCCAGCUGACUGACCAACAUGGUGAAACCUGUUUCUACUAAAAAUACAAAAAUUAACCAGGCAUGGUGGCAUGCUCCUGUAAUCCCAGCUACUUGGGAGGCUGAGGUGGGAGAAUCACUUGAACCCCAGAGGCGGAAGUUGCAAUGAGCCAGGAUCGUGUCACUGCACUUCAGGUUGGGAGAUGAGGAAGACUCCGUCUCAAAAAAAAAAAAAAAGGCUGGUUGCGGUGGCUCACACCUUUAAUCCCAGCACUUGGGGAGGCCGAGGUGGGCGGAUCACGAGAUCAGGAGAUCGAGACCAUCCUGGCUAACAUGGUGAAACCCCGUCUCUACCAAAAAUACAAAAACAAAAUAAGCUGGGCAUGGUGGCGGGCACCUGUAGUCCCAGCUACUGGGAGGCUGAGAUGGGACAAUGGUGUGAACCUGGGAGGCAAAGCUUGCAGUGAGCUGAGAUCACACCACUGUACUCCAGCCUGGGUGACAGAUUGAGACUCCAUCUGAAAAAAAAAAAAAAAGAAAAAGAAAAAAGAAGAAGAAAAUUCAGUUUUUUAGUUGCCCUAGCCACAUUUCAAGCACUCAUCAACCAUACGUGGCCAUAGAACAUUCUGUCAUCUCGGAGAGUUCUAUUGACAGCACUAUUCUGGACUGCAUUUCUUGGAGUUUUAAAAUUUUAUUUUAUUUUUAUUUUUAUUUUUUUUAUUUUAGAGGUGGGGUCUUGCUGUGUUGCUCAGGAUGGUCUCAAACUUCUGGCCUCAAGCAAUUACACUGCCUCAGCCUCCCCAAAUGCUGAUAUUACAGGCAAAAGCCACCAUGCCUAGCCUUGAAGAUUUUUUUUUUCUUUUAAUUUGAGACAGGGUCCUGUUCUGUCACCCAGGCUGGAGUGCAGUGGUGCAAUCUCACUUCACUGCAACCUCCACCUCCUAGGCUUAAGUGAUCCUCCCACCUCAGCCUCCUGAGUAGCUGGGACUACAGGCACACACCACCAUGCCUGGCUAAUUUUUCUGUUUUUUGUAGAGAUGGGGUUUUGACAUGUUGCCCAGGCUGAUCUCUAACUCUUGAGCUCAAAUGAUCCACGCAUAUCAGCCUCCCAAAAUACUGGGAUUAUAGGUGUGAGCCAUCACGCCAGGCACCUUGAAGAUUUUUAAGACAAGAAAUUAUCCACUUCUUUUUUUUCCCCCCAUUCUUAUUGCCCAUCUCAUGAUCUUGGCUCACUGCAACCUCCACCUCCCAGGUUCAAGUGAUUCUCUUGCCUCAGCCUCCCUGGUAGCUGGGAUUACAGGUGCCUGCCACCAUGCCAGGCUAAUUUUUAUAUUUUUAGUAGAGAUGGGGUUUCAGGCCGGGCGCGGUGGCUCAAGCCUGUAAUCCCAGCACUUUGGGAGGCCGAGACGGGUGGAUCACGAGGUCAGGAGAUCGAGACCAUCCUGGCUAACACCGUGAAACCCCGUCUCUACUAAAAAAAAUACAAAAAAACUAGCCGGGCGAGGUGGCGGGCGCCUGUGGUCCCAGCUACUCCGGAGGCUGAGGCAGGAGAAUGGCAUAAACCCGGGAGGAGAAUGGCAUAAACCCGGGAGGCGGAGCUUGCAGUGAGCUGAGAUCCGGCCACUGUACUCCAGCCCGGGCUACAGAGCAAGACUCCGUCUCAAAAAAAAAAAAAAAA